rnacentral:rRNA from 1 species
GUAGGGAAUAUUGCACAAUGGGGGAAACCCUGAUGCAGCGACGCCGCGUGAGUGAUGAAGGCCUUCGGGUCGUAAAGCUCUGUCGUAUGGGACUAACACAAUGAAGGUACCAUGCAAGAAAGGAUCGGCUAACUUCGUGCCAGCAGCCGCGGUAAGACGAGGGAUCCUAGCGUUGUUCGGAAUCAUUGGGCGUAAAGCGGGUGUAGGCGGAUUUAUAAGUCAGGUGUGAAAUCCCAGGGCUCAACCCUGGAAGUGCACUUGAUACUGUAAAUCUUGAGUGUGGUAGAGGUUACUGGAAUUGUUGGUGUAGUGGUGAAAUACGUAGAUAUCAACAGGAAUACCGGAGGCGUAGGCGAGUAACUGGGCCAACACUGACGCUGAGACCCGAAAGCGUGGGGAUCAAACAGGAUUAGAUACCCGAGUAGUCC